rnacentral:lncRNA from 1 species
GUGUUGCCAAAGGAGAUUAACAUUCAAGUCAGUGGGCUGGGAAAGGCAGACCCACCCUUAACGUGGGUGGGCACCAUUUAAUCAGCUGCCAGCUUGUUUAAAAUAUAAAGCCUAGCCUCCCAGCCUACAUCUUUCUCCUGUACUGGAUGCUUCCUGCCCUCAAACAUCAGACUCCAGGUUCUUCAGUUUUGGGACUCGGACUGGCUCUCCUUGCUCCUCAGCCUGCAGAUGGCCUAUUGCAGGACCAUGUGAUCAUAUAGAGACACAUUUGCCAUGAAGCUUAAGUUCAGGACCCCUCGCUAGCAUGGGCAUCUCCCCUGGAAUGUAUCCAUAUGGCCAUAUGUUUCUACAAAGGCUGCAAAGGUGAGAUUAAGGUAAGAUCGUUUGACUACAAUUCCUUUCCACUCUGAUUUUCUUCCUUACACUUCCCUUCAUGUUAAUACGAUGUUAGCAUGAUGGAUAUAAGUGGCUGAAAGCAUUUUUGGGGUCUGAAUAAGAGGAAGUAGAGCUCUGAAUAUAUUUAGUUUGGGUUUAGUGGGAUAUAUUUAUGUGGUUUCUAGGCUGUCCAUGUGUAGUUAAGUUAUCAUUAGCCAUCCCAGUAGAGGAUGGCUUCCAGGAAUACUCCUGCCCACUGUCUGAGUCACCUGUGGUGGUGACGUAAAGGUGCAGAACCAAAGGUCAUCUCAUAUAUGAAUGUGUUCUAUGGCAUGCAGAACCAAAAGUAUGUGGAAGUGGAU